CACCACAGCCAUAUCACCCUGCAGCCCAAGACUCACUAAAGCUUAGCAGGGCUGAGCCUGGUUAGUACCUAGAUGGGAGACCACAUGGGAAAAUCAGGUUGCUGUUGGAA
rnacentral:rRNA from 1 species